rnacentral:rRNA from 1 species
AUUGAACGCUGGCGGAAUGCUUUACACAUGCAAGUCGAACGGUAACAGGUCUUCGGAUGCUGACGAGUGGCGAACGGGUGAGUAAUAUAUCGGAACGUGCCCAGUCGUGGGGGAUAACGUAGCGAAAGUUACGCUAAUACCGCAUACGAUCUAUGGAUGAAAGCGGGGGAUCGCAAGACCUCGCGCGAUUGGAGCGGCCGAUAUCAGAUUAGGUAGUUGGUGGGGGAAAGGCUCACCAAGCCAACGAUCUGUAGCUGGUCUGAGAGGACCACCCGCCACACUGGAACUGAGACACGGGUCAGGAUCCUUCGGGGAGCGAGAGGGGGGAAAUUUUGACCAUGGACGGAAGUCUUAACCAGCCAUUCCGCGGGGAAGAUUGAGGCCCUCGGGUUGGAAACUGCCUUUGUACGGGAAGAAAAGGUCUCUCCUAAUACGAGGGGCUCAUGACGGUACCGUAAGAAUAAGCACCGGCUAACUACGUGCCAGCCGCCGCAGUAACAC